GGGGGGCUAACAUGCAGUCGAGCGAGCUUGCCUAGAUGAUUUUAGUGCUUGCACUAAAUGAAACUAGAUACAAGCGAGCGGCGGACGGGUGAGUAACACGUGGGUAACCUGCCCAAGAGACUGGGAUAACACCUGGAAACAGAUGCUAAUACCGGAUAACAACACUAGACGCAUGUCUAGAGUUUGAAAGAUGGUUCUGCUAUCACUCUUGGAUGGACCUGCGGUGCAUUAGCUAGUUGGUAAGGUAACGGCUUACCAAGGCAAUGAUGCAUAGCCGAGUUGAGAGACUGAUCGGCCACAUUGGGACUGAGACACGGCCCAAACUCCUACGGGAGGCAGCAGUAGGGAAUCUUCCACAAUGGACGAAAGUCUGAUGGAGCAACGCCGCGUGAGUGAAGAAGGGUUUCGGCUCGUAAAGCUCUGUUGGUAGUGAAGAAAGAUAGAGGUAGUAACUGGCCUUUAUUUGACGGUAAUUACUUAGAAAGUCACGGCUAACUACGUGCCAGCAGCCGCGGUAAUACGUAGGUGGCAAGCGUUGUCCGGAUUUAUUGGGCGUAAAGCGAGUGCAGGCGGUUCAAUAAGUCUGAUGUGAAAGCCUUCGGCUCAACCGGAGAAUUGCAUCAGAAACUGUUGAACUUGAGUGCAGAAGAGGAGAGUGGAACUCCAUGUGUAGCGGUGGAAUGCGUAGAUAUAUGGAAGAACACCAGUGGCGAAGGCGGCUCUCUGGUCUGCAACUGACGCUGAGGCCCGAAGGCAUGGGUAGCGAACAGGAUUAGAUACCCUGGUAGUCCAUGCCGUAA
rnacentral:rRNA from 1 species